rnacentral:misc_RNA from 1 species
CAUUUUCAUUUUUCUUAUCUAUGUUAACCCAUUGAAAUCUCAUUUUAUAUUAACGAACUAGUUUAGAUACUACACCAUUCAUUAUAUGUUGAAAUGAGAUCGAUUUUGCAUUGGAAAUGCUCAAAUUUGAAACAAAUCAAAGCAUCACUUCACAGCAAAUUCGAAAAUUAUUGAAACUUGUUUUUUAGUUGUAUCCAUGUUUCAUUAUUUGUUAGCCUACAGUUAUGGCUAUGAUAUAGAUCUAGAUGACCAAUGAAAGCACGAGUGCUAUACCACAAUUCUUCUAGGUCAUUGUAGAAAUAGAGAUUAGUGUUGAAAGCUGAGAAAUUCAUUGGGCAUCCUGCAAGCAUUAACAAUGGCAACCUCAUCAGAAGAAGUCCUACUUAUAGUUCAUCAUGUACGUCACAAAAAAUCAGAGGGAGUUCUUUACAUGAUGGGAGAGAGAAUGGCCUGGAUGCUUAAAAGCAAGGACUCGUUUUCAGUCAGUCACAGCUAUGCUGAUAUCAAGAUGCAAAAGAUAUCUCCGGACACAAAGGAGAAAGUGCAACUUCAGAUCUCACUACAUGACGGUGGGGCCAAUACAUUCCAAUUCACAAACCCCAAGGGGCGUCCUGAGAGUGUGUCAGACAGAGAAGGUGUCAAAGAACUGCUGCAGCAGCUGCUACCAAAGUUUAGGCGAAAGAUAAAUAGUGAAUUGGAGGAGAAAAAUAGGAUGCUCCAGGAGGAUGCAGAAUUAUUCCAGCUCUAUAAAGACUUGGUUGUGAGCCAGGUUAUUUCUGCCGAGGAAUUCUGGGCAAAUAGAGUCAAAAACAUGAAUAAACCUACCUCAGAACCAACCCCAGUUGGAAACAAAGCACCAUCAAAUCCAGUGGCGAGUACCUCCAAACAGGAUGUUGGUGUCUCGGCAUCUUUUUUGGCGGAGGUGAAACCACAAAGCGAUGGCUGCAAUGGCUUGAAAUAUAACAUCACAACAGAUAUCAUUGAGUCUAUCUUCAAAACAUACCCUGCAGUCCAGAGCAAGUACCAAGAACAUGUGCCACAUAAUAUGUCAGAAUCUGCCUUCUGGACCAAGUUCUUCCAGUCGCAUUAUUUCCACAGGGACAGAAUCAACAUUCACACAACAGAACUCUUUGCUGAGUGUGCCAAGAAAGAUGAAGAAGAUAUACAGAGUGCAAUAGGAGAGUGUUCAGCCGACCCCUUGGUAGACCUUACGCAUAUGUCAGACUCGACCCUUGAUGAGGACUAUGGAACUAAGAAUAAUGACACAAUGGACAAAGUGAACAAAGAAUCUGCCAACUUGUCAAUCAUACGUCGUUUCAACCAUCACUCAACAAGGAUAUUGCAGACAGGAGAUACAAGGGCUCCUAAAACUAUAGAUCAGGGCGUCAAUGAGAUUGAUAAGUCAAAGGUCACAAGUGGAACUUCACUAGAGCCACCUAUGAAAAAGGCAAGAUUACAAGAGAAGAUUGAAUACACUGAUCUUGAAGCUUCUAACUCGAGCCAGGGAAUAACGCUAAAUCUGACGCACCAAGACCGUUAUCUACACGGCCCUACACCUGCUAAUAAUGCCACCUUUAUGACUUCUUAUGAAGUGGAGGAAGCAAUCUCAAAUUUUAAAAAUGAUGUGAGAAAUCUGUCACCAGCUUUUUCAAAGGUCCUCAGUUCUAAUGCGGCUGUAUCAGCAAUAACAGAUCUCUCACCAGGUGGCAUUCUAAUGCAAAACACCAGCAAACAGAAACUACAGGAUUUGGUGUCGGUUGAGCUACAACAGGAAGUGAAGAACCUAUACUCUGCUCUGUGUGAACUUCUACGUCACUUCUGGUCUUGUUUUCCAACUACAACUCCACUUUUAGAAGAAAAGGUUGUAAAGAUGCGGGGAACUUUAGAAAGAUUUCAACAUGCUAAACUACAGCCUCUGAAAGACAAAGUAGUCCAAUACCACUGCCCAGUAGAUUUAACUCUGCAUUUAGACGAAUUGUUAUCAACUGCUUAUACAAAGUUUGAAUCAUGGCAUGCCCGGAGGAAAAAGUAAAAUCUUGACCUGGUAGGCUAAGUCUGGAAUACGGUCUGAGAUAUGGUUGCAACGAGUGGUCACAAUAGGUGAAGUUAUAUGCCUUUUACUGAACACUGGCUUGAUUCAGUUAGGUGUAUUUUGAAAUAGAAUUUGGGAGCAUUUUAAUGCAUAUAAUGGUUUUCAGCAAGGAUUGGCUCUUGAGAUCGAACUUCGAUAUUUUCCAACAAUGAAAACGUUGAAAUGUCGUUAUUUUCUGAAAUUAUAACCGACAGUAAAUUCAAAACAGUCCAAAAGAUUUGGACCAAUAUCUCGAUCAUUUCUCGUGAGUUUUGGAAUUUUUCGUU